AUGAAUGAACCGCGGCACCGGGAGAAGCCCCGCCGAUACCCCGUGCCGCGUGCUCCGCCGGCGGGCAGCAGGGGGCCGCCAGCGCCCCGAACUCCGUCCAAGCUGCGGAGCCCAGGGCCGGAACGUAGAGCGCGGCUCCCGCUGCCCGGCACCUGCCCGCGGCUCCCCCCGCCCCGCCGCCAGCUCCAGCCUCCGAACCCUCCCGCCCACGGAGCCGCCGCCCGGCCCGGAGCCGCCCCGCACCUGUCCGACAGAAAAGGCUCCGGCGACCGCAGCGGAGCGACGCGGAUACACGCUGUGCCCCGUCCCGCCCGGACCCAGCGAACACUCCCAACCUUCUGCCCCUCGUUCUCCCCGGGACGGCUUCUUCCGUGCGCCGAUGACAGCUGCGCGCUGCGCAUGCGCCCGGCUCUCGCACGCCCGAGGUGGGGAGGACCGGGAGAGGGGAGCAGCGCGGAGGCCCAGCGGGAGGAACACGUGACGGGGACGGGCGGUCGCGUCACGUGCCCAGCGGCUGCCGGGGCCGGCACCGCCCCCGGGAGGAGCCGCUGCGGGCGGGAGGAUGCGCCGCGCUACGAGGGAAAAGAAGUAAAACAUUGGAGAGGAACCAGAGUGUUUUUACUGGGGAAGUGCUAGAAGUGACCUCCUAGAAUCGGGACAAACAGUCAUUCCCACUCCUGCCAGACUUGUUGACUGAUCCAGCACAUUAACCAAGCAGAAUGCUAAUCCAGAAAAAGAAAGAUGGUUUUCUUCACAGUCACCAUGAAGAAAUGGUUUGUGAAGAAAGGAACUGGAAACUCACAGCAGAGAAGAAGAGAUGGGAAAACGUAAAAGAGUGACAUGAUAGCAGUGAGAUAUAGUUGGGCUAAAAAUAAAACUACUCAGAUCUUGCA
rnacentral:lncRNA from 1 species